CGAAGGGUGCAAGCGUUACUCGGAAUUACUGGGCGUAAAGCGUGCGUAGGUGGUUCGUUAAGUCAGAUGUGAAAGCCCCGGGCUCAACCUGGGAAUUGCAUUUGAUACUGGCGGGCUAGAGUGCGGUAGAGGAGAGUGGAAUUCCCGGUGUAGCAGUGAAAUGCGUAGAGAUCGGGAGGAACAUCAGUUGCGAAGGCGGCUCUCUGGACCAGCACUGACACUGAGGCACGAAAGCGUGGGGAGCAAACAGGAUUAGAUACCCUGGUAGUCCACGCCCUAAACGAUGCGAACUGGACGCUGGGAGCAAUCAGGCUCUCAGUGUCGAAGCUAACGCGUUAAGUUCGCCGCCUGGGGAGUACGGUCGCAAGACUG
rnacentral:rRNA from 1 species